AAGUCGUAACAAGGUUUCCGUAGGUGAACCUGCGGAAGGAUCAUUAUUGUAACAAAGACGCUCGAAGGCUGUCGCCGACUUGAAAGGGUCGUGCACGCCCUCGGGUGAAAUCCAUCUCACCCUUUUGUGCACCACCGCGUGGGCUCCCUCCUCGAGGGGGCUCACGUUUUUCACACAAACCCCCAUUGUAAAUGUUUGUAGAAUGUCCUUAUUUUUUUUGCGUUGACACGCGAUCAAUACAACUUUCAACAACGGAUCUCUUGGCUCUC
rnacentral:misc_RNA from 1 species